rnacentral:rRNA from 1 species
AGUGAACGCUGGCGGUAGGCCUAACACAUGCAAGUAGAACGGCAGCACAGUAAGAGCUUGCUCUUACGGGUGGCGAGUGGUGGACGGGUGAGGAAUACAUCGGAAUCUACUUUUUCGUGGGGGAUAACGUAGGGAAACUUACGCUAAUACCGCAUACGACCUACGGGUGAAAGCAGGGGAUCUUCGGACCUUGCGCGAUUGAAUGAGCCGAUGUCGGAUUAGCUAGUUGGCGGGGUAAAGGCCCACCAAGGCGACGAUCCGUAGCUGGUCUGAGAGGAUGAUCAGCCACACUGGAACUGAGACACGGUCCAGACUCCUACGGGAGGCAGCAGUGGGGAAUAUUGGACAAUGGGCGCAAGCCUGAUCCAGCCAUACCGCGUGGGUGAAGAAGGCCUUCGGGUUGUAAAGCCCUUUUGUUGGGAAAGAAAAGCAGCAGGUUAAUACCCCGCUGUUCUGACGGUACCCAAAGAAUAAGCACCGGCUAACUUCGUG